rnacentral:sRNA from 1 species
AGGACAGGGAUAGAGGCAAAAUUAGUGUUCCUACAAGGUGACAAUUCAUAUACUGAAACACUGUUGCCAACCACUUAUCCAUAGAAGCAGUACCACACUGCUCUGUUAAUAUGCCUCACUACUGAGCUGAAAAGAUCAUCACAAGGAGUGAGAGUAGUUCAGUCUCUAUGCCCGUUCAAUCCUUAGUCUAU